rnacentral:rRNA from 1 species
GACGAACGCUGGCGGCGUGCCUAACACAUGCAAGUCGAACGGGGAUAUGAUUUCGGUUGUAUCCUAGUGGCGAACGGGUGAGUAACGCGUGAGCAACCUGUCCUUUUGAGGGGGAUAACACUUGGAAACAGGUGCUAAUACCGCAUAAGACCACGGGUCCGCAUGGACCAGAGGGUCAAAGGAGCAAUCCGCAGAAGGAGGGGCUCGCGUCCCAUUAGGUAGAUGGCGGGGUAACGGCCCACCAUGCCAUCGAUGGGUAGCCGAGCUGAGAGGCUGAUCGGCCACACUGGAACUGAGACACGGUCCAGACUCCUACGGGAGGCAGCAGUGGGGAAUAUUGGGCAAUGGGCGAAAGCCUGACCCAGCAACGCCGCGUGAGGGAAGAAGGCCUUCGGGUUGUAAACCUCUGUCCUUGGUGACGAAAAAAAAUGACGGUAGCCAAGGAGGAAGCCCCGGCUAACUACGUG